GACGAACGCUGGCGGCGUGCUUAACACAUGCAAGUCGAGCGGUAAGGCCCUUUCGGGGGUACACGAGCGGCGAACGGGUGAGUAACACGUGGGUGACCUGCCCUCAGCUCUGGGAUAAGCCUGGGAAACUGGGUCUAAUACUGGAUAUGACUCCACGGUGCAUGUCGUGGGGUGGAAAGCCUUGUGCGGCUGAGGAUGGGCCCGCGGCCUAUCAGCUUGUUGUGGGGUGANGGCCUACCAAGGCGACGACGGGUAGCCGGCCUGAGAGGGCGACCGGCCACACUGGGACUGAGACACGGCCCAGACUCCUACGGGAGGCAGCAGUGGGGAAUCUUGCGCAAUGGGCGAAAGCCUGACGCAGCGACGCCGCGUGAGGGAUGACGGCCUGG
rnacentral:rRNA from 1 species